GGCACGGUGGCUUAGUGGUUAGCACUGCCUUCACAGCAAGAAGGUUGUGGGUUUGAAUCCAGCCUGGGGCU